rnacentral:tRNA from 3 species
GGGGCUUUAGCUCAGCUGGGAGAGCGCAACACUGGCAGUGUUGAGGUCAGCGGUUCGAUCCCGCUAAGCUCCACCA